rnacentral:RNase_P_RNA from 1 species
UAGGGCCACAGAGACGAGCGUAUUUAGUUACGGUGAAACGCGGUAACCUCCACUCGGAGCAAUUCCAAAUAGGCACGCGUUGAUGUUGCUCGCGGAGCGUGCGGGUAGGAAGCUUGAGCGCCGGAGUAAUUCGGCGCCUAGAGGAAUGAUUGUCGUGGUGGGAGUCCCCUCGGGGAGACCAACCAACAGAAUCCGGCCUAUCGGCCUGCUUUACAC